rnacentral:rRNA from 1 species
UCUUAUAUAGGGGGUGGACUCUGCCCAGUGACGAAAUCAUGCGCAAAGUAGUUGAACGGCUGCGAGAAAUCGUAUUAAAGUAGCACAAUCAUUUGCCUUCUGAUUAGUGGCUUGAAUGAACGGUCUGACGAGAAUCACGCUGUCUCUUUUAUAUUUUAUAGAAUUUAUCUUCCAGGUGAAGAGCCCUGGAUAAAACUAAAAGACGAGAAGACCCCAUUGAGCUUUAGUGACAAGUUAUUUGAAACCAAAGUUAAGUAUUUCUGAGAUUAUCAAGUAGAGUAUAUUCUUCAGCGUAUUUAAUCGAAAAAUGUUUUCUAACUUAAUCUUUAGUUGGGACAGCAUAGGAACAAAAUUAACUUCCUUAUCAAUUACUUUGUUAGUAUAUGUAGACUCAUCAAUAGAUCCAGAAUUUUCUGAUAAUUGGAUAAGUUACCUUGGGGAUAACAGCGCAAUUUUCUUAGAGAGACCUUAUCAAAGAGAAAGUUUGCGACCUCGAUGUUGGAUUAGGACAUCCCAGGAGUGCAGUAGCUUCUGAAGGUUGGCUUGUUCAGCCAUUAAAGUCCUACAUGAACUGAGUUCAGACCGGA